UUACAUAGGAUCAAAGUUUGCUUGACGUUGUUAUCCAGACCUUAAGUCUCAACAUACUGGUCAUGCACAUUAGGUUGGAUUUAUGCCUUGAGCAGUCUUUGUUUCAAGGUCAUACCCGAAUUAUAUCAGUCAAGUUUGUGGAAAACCUUGAGUUUGGGAAGCCAUUUGUCAGAGGCCCUCGUUGGAAUGGUAGUUGCUAAUUUUGGACUUUGUUCCAAGAAGCUAGCUUUUGGUUCAGAAGACUGUAAUAAUGAACCAGCUGCGCAGCCUGGAACAAGCUCAGAGAAGAUCAAACCUUUGCUUUAGAAAACAUGGAAUCAGGUUUCAAAUAUGAUGGCCGUUGUCAAUUGUUUCAUUAAGUCAUGUAUAUUGUCAAUAGAUCAACACUCAACAGUCGAACAGGUUCUUCUUGUAUUUGACUUUUGGGUGUCUGACUUUCCAACGCCUGCCUGCCCAACAUCCCAAAUAAGGACAGCCUGCUUAUGGCAGCACAGCGUCUUCGGGGGCCAAGAAAGUGGGCCGACCGCCAUAGGUUAUUUUAUCAUUCACUAUCUUGGUUUCUAAUCUAGUCAUCUUACAUUUUGUCAAUCAAUGUGUUUAACUCAAU
rnacentral:lncRNA from 1 species